AUGGUACUUCACUUCAUCUCUCCACUCUUCAUUGGAUUAAUGUAAGCGACUUUAAUAUGGUUUGUUUUUUUCUUUUCUUUUUCGCUCUUGGAGAAGACAUAUAUGUAUCAAACUUCAAACCUAACCUGGCUAAAGUGGGGACUGUCUUCUUUAAUUAAUAAUUUCUUCUCUUUUUGACUGAAUUAUAAUUAAUAAUUGAAGCAAUUUACAUAUAAUUUCUAAUGAAGCUUGAACUCUAUUAGCUAUUAAGGUAUCCUAGGGGGCAAUCAUAUAUUCUAAUACUUAUGAAAUCUCCUUCCUAUAUAAAUAUGACCAAGAUCAAUAACUAAGUGUGUAUAUAUAUAUAUACAUAGUUAAUUACUUGUUGGAGGAGUGAAAAAAGCUCUUUAUUUGCAGUUUGGAAAUCUCAAGUUCGAGUCCUAUAACACCUUGAUAGUGUAUGUGAGAAACCCCCUUUUCAUAAUUCAAACUAUCAUUUGUGCUCAAAAACAAAAAGUAUAUAUAUAUAUAAUAUAGUUAACUUUUUCUGAAAUGGAAGUAAAAUUAAGUUUGAAUUUUUGGUGCAAGAUGCGAGGUUUAAAAUUAGUACAUCGAUCCGUCCAAGAGAACAUAAAUCAAAGUGACUGGGACACAUCCGAAGGACAAGAUCAGAUGGGGUCAGCGACAAACACCAUUGGUGAUCAAAAUGGUGAGCAAUUGCAUGGCAAUCCUAGUAAACUCCAACAUACAAGUUGCAAAAAAGUUAAUAGUACAAGAUCAUUAUUAAUUUAAUUAUAUAUAUAUAUAUUUUGCAUUAAAACAAAUAGUCUUCCAAAUUCAGAGAUUGCUAAAUAUGCCAGUAUAUAUGCAUAUGUUUAUAUAUAAAUGAAUGGCUGUUACUGGUUAAAACAAGUCGAAGCCAAUGAAGGGAAAUGUAGCGGUCUACUUGUGAAAAGCCAUGACAUUUGUUUGGCCAUAUAUAUAGGAGGCCUUGUCCCCAGCUAGCUCAUGUGGAUCUGAUUGGCUUUGACAAUGACAAACCACCCAAUUACUUGCUUCACAAAUCGGGGACAAAUGGUACCACAGCACAGCUUGGAGAAGCAAUUAAUGGUUUCCAUGUGAUCGCUUGAAGUUGCAGCUUUGCAAACAGAAGAUGA
rnacentral:lncRNA from 1 species